AUCGGUUUAACGCGAAGAACUUACUACUCUUGACAUCACACAGAACUUACCAGAGAUGGUUUGGUGCCUUCGGGAACUGUGAGACAGGUGCUGCAUGGCUGUCGUCAGCUCGUGUUGUGAAAUGUUGGGUUAAGUCCCGCAACGAGCGCAACCCUUAUCCUUAUUUGCCAGCGAGUUAUGUCGGGAACUUUAGGAGACUGCCGGUGAUAAACCGGAGGAAGGUGGGGACGACGUCAAGUCAUCAUGGCCCUUACGAGUAGGGCUACACACGUGCUACAAUGGUCGGUACAGAGGGUCGCAAAGCCGCGAGGUGGAGCUAAUCCCACAAAGCCGGUCGUAGUCCGGAUCGGAGUCUGCAACUCGACUCCGUGAAGUCGGAAUCGCUAGUAAUCGUGGAUCAGAAUGCCACGGUGAAUACGUUCCCGGGCCUUGUACACACCGCCCGUCACACCAUGGGAGUGGGCUGCACCAGAAGUAGAUAGCUUAACCCUUCGGGGAGGGCGUUUACCACGGUGUGGUUCAUGACUGGGGUGAAGUCG
rnacentral:rRNA from 1 species